rnacentral:misc_RNA from 1 species
AAGUCGUAAAAAGGUUUCCGUAGGUGAACCUGCGGAAGGAUCAUUAGCACGUAUCCAACGUUAAACAACCCUGUGAACCUUGAACGUGCUCCUGCAGCCCCAUGAAAUCAGCAAUCCCUGGGAAAUCAUUGUUGACCAGCUUUUGAGUCAGGGACCUCUGCCGAAACGGCUGUUCAGUACCGAGCGUGGUGUAAGCGACCUGGCAUCAAGCGAUCAGUGUCUGAAAGUAUCAUUGAUUGUGUAAGGAUGGAGUAAACGAUUGCUAGAGGCCCACUCGGCCUUUAUCCCCACAGUUUCCGACUUAACACGGACGCCGUAAAAAACUGAACAACUGUUACAAUGGAUAUCUUGUUCUC